UACGUAGGGAGCGAGCGUUGUCCGGAUUCAUUGGGCGUAAAGAGCUCGUAGGCGGCUUGGCAAGUCGGGUGUGAAAACUCCAGGCUCAACCUGGAGACGCCACUCGAUACUGCCAUGGCUAGAGUCCGGUAGGGGAGCACGGAAUUCCUGGUGUAGCGGUGAAAUGCGCAGAUAUCAGGAGGAACACCGGUGGCGAAGGCGGUGGUCUGGGCCGGAACUGACGCUGAGGAGCGAAAGCGUGGGGAGCGAACAGG
rnacentral:rRNA from 1 species